rnacentral:rRNA from 1 species
UACAGAGGUCUCAAGCGUUGUUCGGAUUCAUUGGGCGUAAAGGGUGCGUAGGCGGCGCGGUAAGUCGGGUGUGAAAUCUCGGAGCUUAACUCCGAAAACUGCAUUCGAUACUGCCGUGCUUGAGGACUGGAGAGGAGACUGGAAUUUACGGUGUAGCGGUGAAAUGCGUAGAUAUCGUAAGGAAGACCAGUGGCGAAGGCGGGUCUCUGGACAGUUCCUGACACUGAGGCACGAAGGCCAGGGGAGCAAACGGG